AGCUACAUGUAAUUUUACAUAACCCAGGGAAAACUAGCAUGCUUUGUUCUCAGGCUCCCUGCCAUGGUCAAAAGCACCCCAAAUCUGAAAAGAUUCUUGGUAAUUUAUUCCCUUUCAUCCCUAAAGAGGAGCCUUUAAGGUAUGUCAGGGUUGAUCUUUUUUUCAGAACCUAAUGUGUAGAUAUUCAGAAAUGACUCUGGAAGACAAAAAUUUGGAUUGUCAGAAGGAGGCUGCUCAUAUAAUUAAUGCCAUGCAAAAAAGGAUCCACCUGCAGACUCUGAGGGCACUGUCAGAAGUACAGAAAAUGACGCCAAGAGAAAGGAUGCGGCUGAGGAAGCUCCAGGCGGCUGAUGAGAAAGCCAGGAAGCUGAAAAAGAUUGUGGAAGAAAAAUAUGAAGAAAAUAGCAAACGAAUGCAAGAAUUGAGAUCUCGGAACUUUCAGCAGCUGAGUGUUGAUGUACUCCAUGUAA
rnacentral:sRNA from 1 species